rnacentral:rRNA from 1 species
GUGCCAGCAGCUGCGGUAAUACGGAAGGGGCUAGCGUUGCUCGGAAUCACUGGGCGUAAAGGGCGCGUAGGCGGCCGAUUAAGUCGGGGGUGAAAGCCUGUGGCUCAACCACAGAAUUGCCUUCGAUACUGGUUGGCUUGAGACCGGAAGAGGACAGCGGAACUGCGAGUGUAGAGGUGAAAUUCGUAGAUAUUCGCAAGAACACCAGUGGCGAAGGCGGCUGUCUGGUCCGGUCUGACGCUGAGGCGCGAAAGCGGU